rnacentral:lncRNA from 1 species
AUGCACACGGGUGCUCACGCCACACACACACACGCACAUACAGGUGCUCACGCCACACACACGCACACACGCACAUACAGGUGCUCACGCCACACACAGGUGCUCACACCACACACACGGGUGCUCACACCACACACGGGUGCUCAUGCUGCACACACGGGUGCUCACGCCACACACAUACACAUACAGGUGCUUACGCCACACACACACGGGUGCUCACGCCACACACACGCACAUACAUGCACAUACAGGUGCUCACGCCACACACACACACGCACAUACAGGUGCUCAUACUACACGGUGCUCACGCCACACACAUACACAUACAGGUGCUCGCGCCACACACACACACACGGGUGCUCACAUUACACACACACGCACAUACAGGUGCUCACACUACACACACGGGUGCUCACGCUACACACAUAUACAUACAGGUGCUCACGCUACACACACAUGCACAUACAGGUGCUCACACUACACGGUGCUCACGCCACACACACAUACAGGUGCUUAUGCCACACACACACACGGGUGCUCACACCACACACACACACACGGGUGCUCAUGCCACACACACACAUGUGCUCAUGCCGCACACACGCACAUACAGGUGCUCACGCCACACACAGGUGCUCAUGCUGCAGACACGGGUGCUCACACCACACACACACGGCUGCUCAUGCCACACACACAGGUGCUCAUGCCACACACAUGCACAUACAGGUGCUCACACUACACAUGCAGGUACUCAGCCACACACAGGUGCUCAUGCUGCACACAUGGCUGCUCACACCACAUACACACACGGCUGCUCAUGCCACACACACACACAUACAGGUGCUUACGCCACACACAUGCACACACACGGGUGCUCACGCCACACACAUGCACACACACGGGUGCUCACGCCACACACACACACACACGGCUGCUCACGCCACACACACGCACAUACAGGUGCUCAUGCCACACUGCACACACACACAGGUGCUCAUGCCACACACAUGCACACACACGGGUGCUCACGCCACACACACGCACAUACAGGUGCUCACGCCACACACACUGGGCGAGAUGGCCGGGCCCUCAGGUGGGCCAGGCUCGUGGCUGGUCUUGAAGGGACUGGAAGGAAGGGAGCUGAGCUGUGGUCGAGGUGUCGCUGUGCAGACCCUGGAGGCAGGUGGCUUAGAGUGCAGACUGAGCGUGCUGAGACAGGCCGCCGGUGUGGCUCGGCCGGGCUCUGUGCCUGCCCCACCCAGGACAGUGGCCGCCCACUAG